rnacentral:rRNA from 1 species
AGGGUCCAUGGUGGAUGCCUUGGAGCUAUCCGGCGAAGAAGGACGUGGUAAGCUGCGAAAAGCGUUGGUGAGGAGCAAACAUCCUAUGAUCCAGCGAUGUCCGAAUGGGGUAACCCACAUAUUAGAUAAUAUGUAUGGUAUGGUGAACACAUAGUCAUAUCAGGCGAGACCCAGGGAACUGAACCAUCUAAGUACCUGGAGGAAAAGAAAUCAAACGAGAUUCCCUUAGUAGCGGCGAGCGAAGCGGGAAGAGUCCAAACCUAAUUAGUUUCGGCUAAUUAGGGGUUGUAGGGCGCAUGACAUGUGAUUCAUGGAGAUUAGCAGAAAGGUUUUGGAAAAGCCUACCAAAGAAGGUGAAAGUCCUGUAAGCGAAAAUUGAAGUGACGCUAAUGCGUACCUGAGUACGGCGGGACACGAGUAAUCCUGUUGGAAACUGGGGGGCCCACCCUCCAAGACUAAAUACGAGAUAGCUACCGAUAGUGAACGAGUACCGUGAGGGAAGUGGUGAAAAGCACCCCGGGAGGGGAGUGAAAUAGAACCUGAAACCGUGGACCUACAAGCGGUCAAAGCCUCCUUGAGAGGUGAUGGCGUGCCUUUUGUAGAAUGAGCCUGCGAGUUAUCCUAUGUAGCAAGGUUAAGUGAUAGAAGUCAUGGAGCCGAAGAGAAAUCGAGUCUGAAUAGGGCGAGUUAGUUACAUGGGAUAGACCCGAAGCCGGGUGAUCUAUCCAUGGUCAGGUUGAAGCUUGGGUAAAACCAAGUGGAGGACCGAACCCUAGUCUGUUGAAAAAGGCAGGGAUGAACUGUGGAUCGGAGUGAAAGGCUAAUCAAACCCGGAGAUAGCUGGUACUCCUCGAAAUAGCUUUAGGGCUAGCCUCAUAUGGUUUCUUACGGAGGUAAAGCACUGAUUAGGCUAGGGCCUGUCACAGGGUACCAAACUUAGUCAAACUCUGAAUGCCGUAAGACAAAAUAUGGGAGUCAGACUGUGUGAGAUAAUUUUCAUAGUCAAGAGGGAAAGAACCCAGACCGUCAGCUAAGGUCCCCAAUCUAUGCUAAGUGGAAAAGGAAGUGUGAUGGCAAAGACAGCCAGGAGGUUGGCUUAGAAGCAGCCACUCCUUUAAAGAGUGCGUAAUAGCUCACUGGUCGAGUCGUCAUGCGCUGACAAUGUAACGGGGCUAAGCAUAGAACCGAAGCUACGGCUCAUUAGUUUACUAAUGGGGGUAGAGGAGCAUUCUGUAGGGAGUCGAAGCAGUACCGAAAGGUAUUGUGGAUCUAUCAGAAGAGAGAAUGCAGGCAUGAGUAACGAAAAGCUAGGUGAGAUCCCUAGCCGCCGAAAGCCUAAGGUUUCCUGGGUGAAGGUAAUCUUCCCAGGGUUAGUCGGCCCCUAAGGCGAGGCUGAAAAGCGUAGUCGAUGGGAAACUGGUUAAUAUUCCAGUACCUCUAUAUUUAGAGAAGCAGUGACGCAUAAGGAGAAACACUACCGGGCGAUGGUCGUCCCGGUCUAAAUGGUAAGAUGUUGAUUUAGGUAGGAAAGUCCGCCUGAAGAGUUGAGCCAUGAAGGGGAGUGGACCUACGGGAAAGCGAAGAGUGCGUAUUCAUGGUGCCGAGAAAUAGCUGCUAUCGUUAAUAAGUAUAGGGACCGUACCGCAAACCGACACAGGUAGGCGGGAUGAGUAUUCUAAGGCGUACGGGAGAACUCGCGUUAAGGAACUCGGCAAAAUACACACGUAACUUCGGGAGAAGUGUGGCCCUCUAGGGGGUAGCAUAAACGAGGCUCAAGCGACUGUUUACCAAAAACACAGGUCUAUGCGAAUCUGCAAAGAGAAGUAUAUGGACUGACACCUGCCCGGUGCCGGAAGGUUAAGAGGAGCUGUUAGAGUAAUCGAAGCAGUGAAUUGAAGCCCCGGUAAACGGCGGCCGUAACUAUAACGGUCCUAAGGUAGCGAAAUUCCUUGUCGGGUAAGUUCCGACCCGCACGAAUGGUGUAACGACUUGAGCGCUGUCUCAACGCGAGACCCGGUGAAAUUGAAGUAUCGGUGAAGAUGCCGAUUACCUGUGGUUAGACGGAAAGACCCCGUGAACCUUUACUGCAGCCUGAUAUUGAAACUUGGCUUAUCAUGUGUAGGAUAGGUGGGAGACUGAGAUCCAUGCACGCUAGUGUGUGAGGAGUCGUUGGUGAAAUACCACCCUUGAUAGGUUAGGUUUCUAACAGUUGCCGUUAUCCGGUAACUGGACAAUGUCUGGUGGGCGGUUUGACUGGGGCGGUCGCCUCCUAAAGCGUAACGGAGGCGCGCGAAGGUUACCUUGCGGUGGUUGGAAAUCAUCGUGUAAGUGUAAAGGCAUAAGGUAGCCUGACUGCGAGAGGGACACUUCGAGCAGGUACGAAAGUAGGUCUUAGUGAUCUGGCGGUAGCGAGUGGAAGCGCCGUCACUUAACGGAUAAAAGGUACUCCGGGGAUAACAGGCUGAUCCUGCCCAAGAGUUCACAUCGACGGCAGGGUUUGGCACCUCGAUGUCGGCUCAUCGCAUCCUGGGGCUGGAGCAGGUCCCAAGGGUAUGGCUGUUCGCCAUUUAAAGCGGUACGCGAGCUGGGUUCAGAACGUCGCGAGACAGUUCGGUCCCUAUCUGCCACAGGCGUUGGAUGUUUGAGAGGAUCUAUCUUUAGUACGAGAGGACCGAGAUGGACAAACCUCUAGUGUAUCAGUUAUUCUGCCAAGAGUAAUUGCUGAGUAGCUAUGUUUGGAAGGGAUAACCGCUGAAGGCAUCUAAGCGGGAAGCCCACCUCAAGAUGAGACAUCCCUGAAUCUUAAAGAUUCCUAAAGACACCUGAGAGAAUAUCAGGUUGAUAGGCUGGGUGUAUACGCAUGGUAACAUGUUUAGCAUACCAGUACUAAUUUGUCGUGAGGCUUGACC